ensembl:lncRNA
UGAUGUAAGUUGAAGUACUGAACGAACCCUGUCAUAUGAAGCAGAGCAGUUUAAUGUGUGUCUGAAAAGGAUGUCGUGAAUAACCUUUAGCCAAACGUCUCCAUGGGAACCUGAGGGGUGGUUAUUUCAUUCGUUGCAUCUCCAGGCAAAUGUUUUCAAGACGUAUCGAGUUCUCUUUAAAUGUAACAAGCAGUAAGUUACCUCCAAUAGAAGCUAACGGUACGACGAACUACACGCAGCAGACGACGUCCCGGUGUAUUAACGUCGAGGCCAGUAAGCUGAAUUGUUUAUUGACAGGCGUUUUGAAGGAUGACAUCAACAACAUGCUGUCCAGCUCCAUGUCAUAACAGAAAUGCGUUGACCUGGCUUCUAUGCCCAAACAUUGAUCAUGUGUCCUCUGCAUUGCAAAUUCUUGUUCACCUUGCUCAGGAGGACAAAGGUGAACUUGUCGAAAAGGUUCUUCAGCACUGCAACCCAGAAUUAUGCAUAGAUGCUCUUCGAAAACUGCUGAAGUCACCUGCCUCAUGGGUUGGCAUCAUCUGAGGUCCUCUGAGGGGUUGGCAUCAUCUGUUCUCAGGUGUUCUGGAUCUAGACUGAAGCUUGUGUAAAUCCUAGUUACCAUGGGAUGUCACGUGGCAAAAACAGAGAAACAAAUAGAGAAAUAAUUAGCGUAGCUGCUGUUCCAACCAAGUAAAAUUAAUUUGUUUAACCCAAGCUAAAGAAUAAUAAUGCGCAUUUGAUCAGAUAUAACUGCAGUCCAAGAUUAUGAGAUGCAUUAUUUGAAUGCUUGGCCAAAGAGUGUGUCUGAACCCCGAACAUUAUCAGGAAGGUUAUUCCAGAGUUUGGGAGCCAAAUGCAAAAAAG